rnacentral:snoRNA from 1 species
ACUGCCCUUAGAGGCAUUGCGGGUGUGGCUGCUAUGUUGCACGUGCAUCAGUAGGGAGCAGAGAGGAGAGAGACUAUGUCUAUGCUCAGUGUUCUGACCUGUGAAC